UAUAUUUUAACUUUUAAAAUGUUUUUAUUUAUUUUCGAGAGAGACAGAGUGUGAGCAGGGGAGGGACAGAGAGAGAGAGAGAGAGGCAGACACAGGAUCUGAAGCAGGCUCGUGGGGUACGAACCCAGAAACCGUGAGAUCAUGACCUGAGCUGAAGUCGGACGCUUAACCGACUGAACCACCCAGGCACCCCUAAACUGACUUAUAUUUUUAAUAGUGCAUGAAGACUUUAGGACUUUUAAUGUAUUAUUUAGUAGUAUUUCAGAUAGACAAAUCAGCAUUACCCUUUGCUUGAAAUAUGUUUAAUCCAAGUUAUUUUUGCGUUUUUCUCAGGUUUAUUAAUAUUCAAAAAGAAAUUUCUAUUGCCUUUUUGUAUAAAGAGAGGGCAUAAAUACCAUAAAUGUUCAGGAUUCAGUUACAAGUCGGAAGCUGCAGGAACUUGCUGAAGCAGAACUCUUACAGUAAUAUAUACUAAAUAGUAUUAUGGAUAUCUUGAAGGCAGUUUACUUAAAAAUCAGCCUAAAGUGUAAAAUGUGAGCUAAAAGGGGAAUUGGAUUUAGUUCUUUUAAGAGAGUUUGGGAUUGUCUGAAGACAGUCCUUUGUUGCUUUCUAAGUGAGAUACAUUUGGGUCAGCUCCUGUAUAUUGAGUGAGUUACUUAACUGGACUAGGUGUUGCAGGCCAUCACAAGAGGAGUAAGAAGCUCUCAAGGACCUUGUAAAUUACAGGGAUACCCGUGUGUAACAUGAAGCACCCAUGUGAAUACCAUAGGAGAGGUGCAAAAGAGGUUAUGGUCAGGAAAGCCUUCUUGACUUGAGAUGGACAUUAAAUUAGUAUGGAGGGAGUGCAGUGGGACGGAUAAGACUUUCAGACAGAGAAAAAAACAUGACCGAAGUUGGAAAGGGGAGGAGCCUUUUCAAGAACUAGCAGAUUUAAGGUUUGCUGAAGCUGCAGUAUAUUUGGGGGAUAAUGGAACAUAGAGUUAGAAAGAGACCAUACUGAGAAAGACCCUAAAGAAGGCAGAAGAUUUCAUAUUUCAGUAAGCAGUGGAGACUCAUUAAUGGUUUUUGACCUUGGGUGGGGGGUGAGGAGGAGGCUUUGCAGUGGUCUGGAAUGGAUCCUGGGUGAUGGGCAUUCCAACCAGGGUAACAGCUGUGCAAUAGGAAACAUCUGGAUGAACAGGUCUGUUACUGAAGGGCUGCUGGCUAGACACCAUGUUAGGUGCUUUGUUGGAUAAUGUUUAAUUGAGGCCAAAUUAUCAAGGCUGGGUGGAGAGCUUUGAACUAAUUGUGAAGGUAACAGGGAGUCGUAGUGUAAGAGAAAUGACUCAUAAAAGCCAUGCUUUACAAGGCCUUUAGAUCAGUGCAGCAGGAGUUAGAGGGAAGAAGCUGGAGAUGAAUUUGGGAAUUCUCUGUUGAGAAUGGUGAGGAGCGAGGCCAUGGUGCUCAAAUGCAGGAGUGGGGGAGACACCGGGGAGGAUGAUUUUAUCUCCCAGGGGCAUUUGGCGCUGUUCGGAGAUAUUUUGGGUUGUCCUGACUUGUAGGGAAGGAGCAAUUCUCCCGGCAUCUAGCAGACAGAGGCCAGCGAUGCCACUAAACAUCCUACAGUGCAUAGGCCAGCCCCCCAACAAAGAUUUAUCUAACCCCAAAUGCCAGUCAGUGGUGCUGAGAUCGAGAUAUCCUCACCUGGACUCUGGUGGUAACCGUGGAACAGCAAAGGAGGCUAGAACUUCAUAGAAAUUAUGAAGGUAGAUUUGAUGGGCCUGGGCUACCUAGUGAUAUUUAGAUGAGGGAAGGGUAGAGCAAGGAUUAUUCUUUGUUGGAUUCUACUCACCACCUAAAAAGGGGGCAGGAAGAGUCUGGUUUUAGGUAAAAGAUACUGGCAAUUUGACUUCUGGCAUUUUGAGAUGGCAAUGGAAAUCUUCAGGAGAUAUUUGGAAACUUAUGGAUGUUUGUCCCCACUGAGUGCUUGUUCUUACGGUGAAAUUCAGAUAUUUGGGGUGUCUUCUCUGCUUUUCUCACCUAAGUAUUUUGGGGGUAGGGGGGCAGGCAGCUUCUUACACUGUGGGCAUGCAUGUACACCUCAGGGCUUUGAUUGAUGUAGUAGUUUUCAGCAUUUGUUAAUAAAAGUCAUGAGAAGGCUGAGUCAUCUGGGAGAAUGAGUGUAGAAAACAAAGAACAGAGGGCCGAGAACUGAAGGGGGAAGGAGCUGGCAUUUAUUGAGUGCCUAUUAUGUUUCUUUUACUGGGCAAAUCAUUUUCAUGUAAGAACUCAGUUGAUGCUUACAACAACCCUGUAAAGUGUAUUAUUUUUUAUUUAUUAACUAGGCAUCUGACAGACAGAGAAGUUAAAUCAUCUGUUCGUGAAUAAAGCGUCUCUCCUUUACCGUUAUUCCUUGUUACCUUUCAGCUCUUUCUUACUUUCACUGUUCAUGUGAUUGGUUUGCCCAUAGUUCUCCUAAAGAGUGGAGGUUUAAGAUUGUUUGAUUUUGAGUUAUGUGUGGAUUUCCUUCUCUGCAUGGUCAAUAGUUUCAUGUAUGAUGAUGUCUUGAGACACAGCCACUUAAGAGAAAUAGGAAGAUUCUUGUAGUUGGUAUCCUAUGCACACAGAGACACAAUUUUAUAUUACUACAGCUGGCAGACAUCUUAAAGUAUGUUCAUUACCCUGGUUUUGGAAGGGUAGAGUCAGUCCUGUUCUGAGUUGAAAGGUUUGUUUUGGGGGGUGCCUGGGUGACUCGGUUGGUUGAGCGUCCCACCCUUGGUUUUGGCUCAGGUCAUGAUCUCAUGGUUUGUGAGAUUGAGCCCCUCGUUGGGCUCUGUGCUGAAAACUCAGGGCCAGCUUUGGAGUCUCUCACCCUCUCUCUCUGCCCCUCCCCUGUUCACAGGAGCUCUCACUCUCUCAAAAUAAGUAAAUAAACUUUUUUUUUUUUUUUUUUUUAAAGAAAGGUUCGUUUUUGGAGACUGUCAGUAGACAAAGUGAAUGAGCUACAGCUUUAUAGAAUUAUGCUCAACAACAGAGAGGAACAGGACUGGGUGGAGAAAAAUUUGGUUCAUAGGAUAUAAUCAUGAGGAGUUUUGCUCUUUGCUGAGCAAAAAAAAAUCAUUGACUUGAAAAUCACCUUAUCUAGAAAUAAUUUAUUUUAUUUUUUAAAGACGAGGGAAAGUAUGCUACCACACUAAUCAGUAUGUUUUCUUAGCUUUUACUUGGAGCCCCUACUUUGGGAAAUGUUUUAAAACUACAUACAAAUUUUCAGUGCGUAAUAGUUUGAGAAAAGGUUCUAGUAUUAAUGGUUCUUUUAUUGAAGGUUCUAACCAGUGUAUCCCUAUUAAUGAAGCUGAAGAAAUGUCUUAGAUCAUUUGUGUUGAGCAACAUCUUGGUAGAAUAUUUGAGUAACACAUUAAUUUAAUGGGUGAAAAUGACAACCGUGACACAUAAACCAUUUUGCUUUUCUCUUUGAAAUUUGUUCAAUUAUAAGAUUUAUUCAUUAGUGAUAGUAUUAAAGUAAGGAAAGAGAGCCUCAUUUGUUCACUCAAAGUUAUAAACUUAAUACAAUAAAUGUCAGGUUUGUUGUUCUGGAGCAGUGAUUCCUUUUUUAUUUGUAAUUUUUGGAUCAUUGAAACAGUUAACAACAAACUACAAAAACAGUCUUGCCUUAAUCAGACCCUUUCCUAUAUACAGCUGAAAAGCAUACUGUUUGUGACAGAAGUGACACUUAAUGGUUUUCUGUAGUAUCCUAUUUGCUUUUUAAAUUUGUUUUUCCUAUAUCAUUGCUAGUUUUAGCCUUUUCUUUUUCCUUUUAAAUGAAUAGCUCAGAGUUAGUGUCUUAGUAUUUUGGGAAUUCAUGCUAAGCAUUUUGAUGGAGCUGUAGAAGAGCAUACAGGCCGGUAUAAGGAGCUCUAAACAUGGGAGGCAAGUUCCAGUCCUGUCUGUAACCAGCCUUGUGACCUUGAACAGAUCACUUAAUGUCUGGAUUUUCUUUCUCACAGCCUGAAGAGGUUGGAUUGGGUUUUUCUUUUCUUUUUUUUAAAUGUUUGUUUAUUUAUUUUGAGAGAGCAUGAGCUGGUGGCACUCACAAGGCUGAAGAAGAGAGAAUUUUAAGCAGUCUCCACCCUCAGAGUGGAGCCUGUCCCUGUCCCUGUCCUGGUCCCUGAGGCUCUGCCUCCCAACUGUGAGAUCAUGACCUGAGCCGGAAAUCAAGAGUCCCAACGCUUAAUCGACUCAGCACCCCUGGAUUGGGUUUUUCAAAGAAACGUGUUAGAGUGUUGAAAUGGCCACUGUGUCCAGCCACACCCUUAAGAACAUAGUGCACAGUCCUGAAAUUAGUUGUCCACUGUUUUAACAGUAGAAUUGAUUUCUUUUACAAGUUUUGGAGAUUUGAUGAGGAGAAUCUCAGCCUGGAAUGCUGAAGGGACUUUGUGUACAUGAGGGAACUGCUGAAAGGUUUGUAAGGUCCCUAGAUAUUUGGCCAGUGAGAAUUUGAAAUGGGUGAUAAAACUUGGCAUUUAUCACCUUUUGCCUCAUAUAGGUUUCAUUGUCUGUAGCCUUUCCUGUGAUAUAGAUGCAUCUUCAUUCAUCUUUUCCCUCCUUUACCUCUAUAAAAGAAUCUACGGGGGCACUUGGGUGACUCAGUCGGUUGGGCAUCUGACUUCAGCUCAGGUCAUGAUCUCACAGCUUGGGAGUUUGAGCCCCCCGUCGGGCUCUGCUGACAGCUCAGAGUCUGAAGCCUGCUUCGGAUUCUGUGUCUCCCUCUCUCUCUCUCUGCCCCUCCUCCACUGGCACUCUGUUUCUCUCUCUGUCAAAAAUAAACAUUAAAAGAAAAUAAUCUCGUCUGAUCAGUUGCAUAUAUAUGCGUGACAUAAAAAUCAGGAUGUAAUAAGUUCAGCUCAGAAAUCUUUUUUUAAAUUCAUACCAUACACUAAGUUUCAUUGAAAUUUGGUAAAUAGGACUUCGGCCUUUAAAAAAAAUACUGUAUCUUUUCUUCGUUUUCUUUCAAGAAUUGACUUUAUGCUGAAUUUGAAUCUACCUUCUUAAAUGAUGAAGCCAGAAUUUAUAAGAUCAUGUAGCUCCUACCUCUUUUGGGUUGUGGACUCCUUUGAAAUUCUGGUGCACCUACAUGACAUCUGUCUAAAAAAUACAAUCACACAAAAUUUUGCAUGUAAUUUGAGGUUGCUAGCCUUCCUCCAAUUUAGUCAGGCUCAUCCCAUGGACAUCUAUGUUAAGAAAGUUUUGAGGACGGGCAGACAGGCCUGUGAAAUGCCAAACAUAAUGUUUGUCUUAAGUCAGUUUCGCACCCCAACAUGAAUACUUCUUAAUGGCUACUAUUUAUAUUCAGGGUAUAUAUAUAUAACAGUGGUAAAAAAUCAGGAAUUUUUCUUGCCUUCAUGGAUUAUGCUAAUGUUAAAAAGGAAAAGAACCGUGUAUAGUUAAUACAGAAUCAUUGCCAACUUGGGGGCCUACUUAGUUGUAAGGGAAGGUUCCUCUGAGGAGAAAUGGAUGGAGAUAAGGGAGCGAGAAUGAGAUGUUUCACAUGGAGGGAAAGCAUGGGAAGGGCCUGAAGUUUGAAGAGCUUAAUGUGUUUGAGGAAGUGAGAAGCUGGAGCCCUUGGGCAGGGGGAGAACAUGGCAGGGACCACACACUGCAGGGCCUUGUACCCAGCGGUAAGGGGUUUGGAUUUUAAAUAUGCGAAGUUUCUGUUAAGGGAGUAGCAUCAUCUAUAUUGUUGGGGUUUUUUUUUAAUUUUUUUUUUUGUUAACGUUUAUUUAUCUUUGAGAGAAAGAGACAGAGUGGGAGUGGGAGAGGGGCCGAGAGAGAGGGAGACACAGAAUUAGAAGCAGGCUCCAGGCUCUGAGCUGUCAGCACAGAGCCCGAUGGGGGGCUCAAACUCACGAGUGGUGAGAUCAUGACCUGUGCUGAAGUUGGACACCCAACCGACUGAGCCACCCAGGCGCCCCUAGCUAUAUUGUUUUUUCAAGAUUCUCCUGCUGUGUAGAGCGAAGAGCAAACAGAAACAGAUUGGCCAGUGGAUAUGCAGUAGCUCAGAUGGGAGAUGAUGGGAGAUGACCGUGGCUUAACAGUAGUGCGGUGGCAGUGGAUGGAGAGGAGUGGACAUAGUGGAGAUACUUUGAGGUGGUAAAAAUAGGAGGACAUGAUAAUGGAUUGGAUAUGGAACAUAAGGGAGAAGGAAGAACUCAGAGAUGUUGCGGGAAGUCACUAUUCUUACAGUUGGGAGAGGAAUGGGUUUUGGGGGGGCGGGUGGUUUGGUGUGUGGUGGAAAGGUAGUCGUGAAUUCAGGAGGGUUUUUUUGUUUUUUUUUUUGUUGUUGUCCUAGGCUCUUAGAAUGCUGCGAGAUUGUCAGGGGUGCCUCUACCAGAGGGGAUUGAAGAUAUUUGGCUUGCAGAUGUCCAUUUGAAGAUUAUCAAUGACACUUAAAAGCCAAGAACGUAGAUGAAAUCAGGGAGGAAGAGAAGGAAGAGAUGACAGGGAGGAAAGAAAAAAGACUGACUAGAAAUGCAAAGAACCCUGAGGAAUGCAGUACAUUUCUAAGUUGGGUAAACUGGAAGGCCGCUAGGAAGGAAGCUAAGGACAGUCAGAGAGUGGUUGCAGGGAAAUUGGGAACGUAUAUUGGACCAUGCCAUGGAUGCCAAGCAAUGCAAGUAUUUGAGGAAAAGAAUAGUUAACUGUGUUGAGUUUGGUUGGCUGAGAAGUUGGGAAGAUGUGGGCAGAAAUAUGGCCAUUGGAUUUGGCAGCCUAGAGGUCAUCGGUAACUUUGAUGAGCCAAUUUCAUGGACUGGUAGAGAUGGAAACCAGAUUUGAGUGACUUGAGGGAUAUCCGAUGGCCCAGGAAUUAGAGACAGAGUGUAUAGAUAGUGUUUGAAAGCUGUUUGCAGGUGAAAGGAAACAGACGUGGGGUAGAAGCUAGAGGUGUAUGAGGAUAUACAGGAAGCCUGCCUGCCUGCCUGCCUGCCUGCCUUCCUUCCUUCCUUCCUUCCUUCCUUCCUUAGCAUAAAACAUACUGCAGCAUGAUUUUAGUUGUUAGGAUAAAAAGGGAAGAAAGGAAGAUGAAGGAAGCAUUGAAAAAGCAAGAUUGUUCAGGAGCACAACUGCACAGAGAAUGGACUUAAAAGAAAAGGGAUCCCUUCCUCAAUUUUGAAAGGGGGGAAGAAGGAAGAACAUGGAUAUAGAGACAAGUAGGUACAUAGAUUCAGUGCAGGAGAAUUCUGAUGUUCCAGCCUAAUAGUUUCUACGUGUUUUACAUACUGAGGCAAAAAUAACAGUUUAGUAGUGGGAACAAUCUGAAUAUGAAAGAAACAAAAUCUACUUACAGUAGCAUCAGAAAGAAUACAUACUUAGGAAUAAAUUUAACAAAAGAUGAGGUGCCUGCCUAGUUCAGUUGGUAAAGCAUGCAACUCUUGAUCUUGGGGUUGUAUGCUCGAGCCCCACAUUGGAUGUAGAGAUUACUUAAAAAUAAAAUCUUGGGGCAUCUGGGUGGCUUAGUGAGUUAAGCAUCUAACUUGAUUGUGGCUCAGGUCAUGAUCCCAGGAUUGUGGGAUUGAGCCCCAUGUUGGGCUCUGUGCCGAAUUGAGCAUGGAGCCUGCUUGGGAUUCUCUCUCUCCCUCUGCCCCUCUCCCUUGUUUGCACGUGUUCUCUCUCAAAAUAAAUAAAUAAACAAAUAAAUAAUAAAAAUAAGUAAAAAUAAAAUCUCAAUCUCUCUCUCUCUUUCUCUCUCUUUUUUGUUAAAGAAUCACUGGGCACCGGGUUGGUUCAUUCAUUUAACCAGCUGACUCUUGGUUUCAGCUCAGGUCAUGAUCUCACAGUCUGUGAGUUGUAACCCUGCCUCGAGCUCUGUGCUAACAGUGUGGAGCCUGCUUGGGAUUCUCUCCCUCUCACUAUCCCUCCCUACGGUGCUUGUGCAUGUUUUCUCUCUGUCUCUCAAAAUAAGUAAAUGAUAUU